AACGAACGCUGGCGGCAUGCCUAACACAUGCAAGUCGAACGAGACCUUCGGGUCUAGUGGCGCACGGGUGCGUAACGCGUGGGAACCUGCCCUUAGGUUCGGAAUACCUCCCCGUACGGGGUGCUAAUACCGGAUAAUUUCUUCGGACCAAAGAUUUAUCGCCUUUGGAUGGGCCCGCGUUGGAUUAGCUAGUUGGUAGGGUAAGAGCCUACCAAGGCGACGAUCCAUAGCUGGUCUGAGAGGAUGAUCAGCCACACUGGGACUGAGACACGGCCCAGACUCCUACGGGAGGCAGCAGUGGGGAAUAUUGGACAAUGGGCGAAAGCCUGAUCCAGCAAUGCCGCGUGAGUGAUGAAGGCCUUAGGGUUGUAAAGCUCUUUUACCCGGGAUGAUAAUGACAGUACCGGGAGAAUAAGCUCCGGCUAACUACGUG
rnacentral:rRNA from 1 species